rnacentral:rRNA from 1 species
GACGAACGCUGGCGGCGUGCCUAAUACAUGCAAGUCGAACGCAGUGGGGACGGGUGAGUAACACGUGGGUAACCUCCCAUCAGAGGGGAUAACACUUGGAAACAGGUGCUAAACCGAUACUGAUGGAUGGACCCGCGGUGCAUUUGUUAGUUGGUGAGGUAACGGCUCACCAAGGCGACGAUCUGUAGCUGGUCGAGGAGCAUGAUCAGCAAAACGGGGAUUGAGACACGGCCCAGACUCCUACGGGAGGCAGCAGUGGGUAAUAUUGCACAAUGGGCGCAAGCCUGAUGCAGCCAUGCCGCGUGUAUGAAGAAGGCCUUAGGGUUGUAAAGUACUUUCAGCGGGGAGGCGUUACCCGCAGAAGAAGCACCGGCUAACUCCGUGCCAGCAGCCGCGGUAAUUC